rnacentral:rRNA from 1 species
AUUGAACGCUGGCGGCAGGCCUAACACAUGCAAGUCGAACGAGUGGCGGACGGGUGAGUAAUGUCUGGGAAACUGCCCGAUGGAGGGGGAUAACUACUGGAAACGGUAGCUAAUACCGCAUACCAUCGGAUGUGCCCAGAUGGGAUUAGCUUGUAGGUGAGGUAACGGCUCACCUAGGCGACGCUCCCUAGCUGGUCUGAGAGGAUGACCAGCCAAACUGUGACUGAGACACGGUCUAGACUCCUACGGGAGGCAGCAGUGGGGAAUAUUGUACAAGGGGCGGAAGCCUGAUGCAGCCAUGGAGCGUGUAAGAAGAAGGCCUGCGGGUUGUAUAGUACUGUCAGCGGGGAGGCGUUACCCGCAGAAGAAGCACCGGCUAACUCCGUGCCAGCAGCCGCGGUAAUAC